UACAGAGGGGGCGAGCGUUGUUCGGAAUUACUGGGCGUAAAGGGCGCGUAGGCGGCCUCUUAAGUCGAACGUGAAAUCCCCGGGCUCAACCCGGGAACUGCGUCCGAUACUGGGAGGCUUGAAUCCGGGAGAGGGAUGUGGAAUUCCAGGUGUAGCGGUGAAAUGCGUAGAUAUCGGGAGGAACACCGGUGGCGAAGGCGGUUCUCUGGGCCUUACCUGACGCUGAGGAGCGAAAGCGUGGGGAGCGAACAGG
rnacentral:rRNA from 1 species